rnacentral:rRNA from 1 species
AUUGAACGCUGGCGGCAGGCCUAACACAUGCAAGUCGAGCGGAUGAAGGGAGCUUGCUCCUGGAUUCAGCGGCGGACGGGUGAGUAAUGCCUAGGAAUCUGCCUGGUAGUGGGGGCUAACGUCCGGACACGGGCGCUAAUACCGCAUACGUCCUGAGGGAGAAAGUGGGGGAUCUUCGGACCUUACGCUAUCAGAUGAGCCUAGGUCGGAUUAGCUAGUUGGUGGGGUAAAGGCCUACCAAGGCGACGAUCCGUAACUGGUCUGAGAGGAUGAUCAGUCACACUGGAACUGAGACACGGUCCAGACUCCUACGGGAGGCAGCAGUGGGGAAUAUUGGACAAUGGGCGAAAGCCUGAUCCAGCCAUGCCGCGUGUGUGAAGAAGGUCUUCGGAUUGUAAAGCACUUUAAGUUGGGAGGAAGGGCAGUAAGUUAAUACCUUGCUGUUUUGACGUUACCAACAGAAUAAGCACCGGCUAACUUCGUG